AAAGCAGGUUGCAAUUACAGUGCUUUCUUUUGUGGAAGUAUUGACAUUAUCCUGCUGAAAGAAAAUCUGUGUUGAUCGUUUUUUGAUUUUGCCAUUUAUGGGGGUAAAAUCAUGACAGAUUGACAUGAACAGUU
ensembl:snoRNA small nucleolar RNA, H/ACA box 69